UACGUAUGGUGCAAGCGUUAUCUGGAUUUACUGGGUGUAAAGGGAGCGUAGGCGGCGCGUUAAGUCUGAUGUGAAAACCCGAGGCUCAACCACGGGAGUGCAUUGGAAACUGGCGGGCUGGAGUGCCGGAGAGGUAAGCGGAAUUCCUAGUGUAGCGGUGAAAUGCGUAGAUAUUAGGAGGAACACCAGUGGCGAAGGCGGCUUACUGGACGGCAACUGACGCUGAGGCUCGAAAGCGUGGGGAGCAAACAGG
rnacentral:rRNA from 1 species